CCUACCCUUGACUCUGGGGAUAACAGUUGGAAACAGCUGCUAAUACCGGAUACGACCCCGGCGGGCAUCUGCCGGGGUGGAAAGCUCCGACGGUCAAGGAUGGGCUCGCGGCCUAUCAGCUUGUUGGUGAGGUAACGGCUCACCAAGGCGACGACGGGUAGCCGGCCUGAGAGGGCGACCGGCCACACUGGGACUGAGAUACGGCCCAGACUCCUACGGGAGGCAGCAGUGGGGAAUAUUGCGCAAUGGGCGAAAGCCUGACGCAGCAACGCCGCGUGCGGGAUGACGGCCUUCGGGUUGUAAACCGCUUUCAGCAGGGACGAAGGGUCACCUUGACGGUACCUGCAGAAGAAGCACCGGCUAACUACGUGCCAGCAGCCGCGGUGAUACGUAGGGUGCGAGCGUUGUCCGGAAUUAUUGGGCGUAAAGAGCUUGUAGGCGGUCUGUUGCGUCGGAAGUGAAAACUCAGGGCUUAACCCUGAGCCUGCUUUCGAUACGGGCAGACUUGAGGGAUGGUAGGGG
rnacentral:rRNA from 1 species